rnacentral:snRNA from 1 species
GUGCUCACUUCAGUAGCACAUAUACUAAAAUUGGAAUGAUACAGGGAAGAUUAGCAUGGCCCCUACGCAAGGAUGACAUGCAAAUUAGUGAAGCAUUCCAUAUUUCU